rnacentral:lncRNA from 1 species
GGAAAACGGUCCGGUGGUGGAUCCCUGUGCACGCCUACUGCCUGGGGGCACAAAAUAUUAAAAAGAGUGAGUGGACCCAAAAACAAAGUUUAUAAAAUAGCAUAUGAACAUACUAACCCCACUGUAAAAACAGUUAUACAGGUAUAUUGGAACUUCUUGAGGCUUCCGGAUCAUAAUUGCGAGGUCAUGGACCCGCGAGGCCCCGG